GAGACCAUAAACUUAUAGGUGUACCUGACAGGUUUGCCUGUGCAGUUGCGACUGUCAGGCAAAGUUGAGGCAAAA